rnacentral:rRNA from 1 species
CGGAUGGAAGUGCUAGUCUAAGGUCGUAGGAGGUUAUACAGGCAAAUCCGUAUAACAAUACUCCGAGAACUGAAAGGCUUUUUGAAGUCUUCGGAUGGAUAGAAGAACCCCUGAUGCCGUCGAGCCAAGAAAAGUUUCUAAGUUUAGCUAAUGUUGCCCGUACCGUAAACCGACACAGGUGGGUGGGAUGAGUAUUCUAAGGCGCGUGGAAGAACUCUCUUUAAGGAACUCUGCAAAAUAGCACCGUAUCUUCGGUAUAAGGUGUGGUUAGCUUUGUAUUAGGAUUUACUCCGAAAGCAAGGAAACUUACAACAAAGAGUCCCUCCCGACUGUUUACCAAAAACACAGCACUCUGCUAACUCGUAAGAGGAUGUAUAGGGUGUGACGCCUGCCCGGUGCUCGAAGGUUAAUUGAUGGGGUUAGCAUUAGCGAAGCUCUUGAUCGAAGCCCGAGUAAACGGCGGCCGUAACUAUAACGGUCCUAAGGUAGCGAAAUUCCUUGUCGGUUAAAUACCGACCUGCAUGAAUGGCGUAACGAGAUGGGAGCUGUCUCAAAGAGGGAUCCAGUGAAAUUGUAGUGGAGGUGAAAAUUCCUCCUACCCGCGGCAAGACGGAAAGACCCCGUGGACCUUUACUACAGCUUGACACUGCUACUUGGAUAAGAAUGUGCAGGAUAGGUGGGAGGCUUUGAGUAUAUGACGCCAGUUGUAUAUGAGCCAUUGUUGAGAUACCACUCUUUCUUAUUUGGGUAGCUAACCAGCUUGAGUUAUCCUCAAGUGGGACAAUGUCUGGUGGGUAGUUUGACUGGGGCGGUCGCCUCCCAAAUAAUAACGGAGGCUUACAAAGGUUGGCUCAGAACGGUUGGAAAUCGUUCGUAGAGUAUAAAGGUAUAAGCCAGCUUAACUGCAAGACAUACAAGUCAAGCAGAGACGAAAGUCGGUCUUAGUGAUCCGGUGGUUCUGUGUGGAAGGGCCAUCGCUCAAAGGAUAAAAGGUACCCCGGGGAUAACAGGCUGAUCUCCCCCAAGAGCUCACAUCGACGGGGAGGUUUGGCACCUCGAUGUCGGCUCAUCGCAUCCUGGGGCUGGAGCAGGUCCCAAGGGUAUGGCUGUUCGCCAUUUAAAGCGGUACGCGAGCUGGGUUCAGAACGUCGUGAGACAGUUCGGUCCCUAUCUGCCGUGGGCGUAAGAAGAUUGAAGAGAUUUGACCCUAGUACGAGAGGACCGGGUUGAACAAACCACUGGUGUAGCUGUUGUUCUGCCAAGAGCAUCGCAGCGUAGCUAAGUUUGGAAAGGAUAAACGCUGAAAGCAUCUAAGCGUGAAGCCAACUCUAAGAUGAAUCUUCUCUAAGCUCUCUAGAAGACUACUAGUUUGAUAGGCUGGGUGUGUAAUGGAUGAAAGUCCUUUAGCUGACCAGUACUAAUAGAGCGUUUGGCUUAUCUUU